UACGUAGGGUGCAAGCGUUGUCCGGAAUUAUUGGGCGUAAAGAGCUCGUAGGCGGUCUGUCACGUCGGCUGUGAAAACCCGAGGCUCAACCUCGGGCCUGCAGUCGAUACGGGCAAACUAGAGUGUUGCAGGGGAGACUGGAAUUCCUGGUGUAGCGGUGAAAUGCGCAGAUAUCAGGAAGAACACCCGUGGCGAAGGCGGCUCUCUGGGACGGUACUGACGCUGAGACGCGAAAGCGUGGGGAGCGAACAGG
rnacentral:rRNA from 1 species